UACAGAGGUCUCAAGCGUUGUUCGGAUUCAUUGGGCGUAAAGGGUGCGUAGGUGGCGCCGUAAGUCGGGUGUGAAAUUUCGGAGCUUAACUCCGAAACUGCAUUCGAUACUGCGGUGCUUGAGGACUGGAGAGGAGACUGGAAUUCAUGGUGUAGCAGUGAAAUGCGUAGAGAUCAUGAGGAAGACCAGUGGCGAGGGCGGGUCUCUGGACAGUUCCUGACACUGAGGCACGAAGGCCAGGGGAGCAAACGGG
rnacentral:rRNA from 1 species